UGGGUAGCGAAGUUCGGUUGUGAUAACCGCUGAAUGCAUAUAAGCGGGAAGCACGCUCUAAGAUGAGAUCUCCCAACCCGUAAGGGAAAUGAAGGGCCCAGGAAGACCACCUGGUUGAUAGGCUGGAGGUUGAAGCGCAGCAAUGCGUGUAGCUUACCAGUACUAAUCGCCCGUUCGGCUUGUCCAU
rnacentral:rRNA from 1 species